rnacentral:rRNA from 1 species
AUACGGAGGGUCCAAGCGUUAUCCGGAUUCAUUGGGUUUAAAGGGUCCGCAGGCGGGAAAAUAAGUCAGUGGAGAAAGCCUACAGCUCAACUGUAGAACUGCCAUUGAUACUGUUUUUCUUGAGUAUAGAUGAAGUGGGCGGAAUAUAUCAUGUAGCGGUGAAAUGCAUAGAUAUGAUAUAGAACACCGAUUGCGAAGGCAGCUCACUAAACUAUUACUGACGCUCAGGGACGAAAGCGUGGGGAGCGAACAGGAUUAGAAACCCCAGUAGUCC